rnacentral:rRNA from 1 species
UACGUAGGGUGCAAGCGUUAAUCGGAAUUAUUGGGCGUACAGGGCGUGUAGGCGGAUCUGCAAGUCGAAUGUGAAAGCCCCGGGCUCAACCCGGGAACAGCAUUCGAAACUGCCGAUCUAGAGGGUGGGCGGAGAAAACGGAAUUCCACAAGUAGCGGUGAAAUGCGUAGAUAUGCGGAAGAACACCUGUGGCGAAAGCGGUUUUCUAGCUUAAACCUGACGCUGAGGCGCGAAAGCAAGGGGAUCAAACAGG